GUACUCGACUGACCGGUUUAAAUCUAGACAAUCCUUGUCAGAAUCCAACACUUCACAUGCGUUAUAAAAGACAGACAAGCAAUCAAGCGUCACAUUCGGUUGUCCAGCAUUCACCACGAACGGUCUCAUAGGACGUGCUUGUGAAAAGGCAUCAUGGAAAAGAUCAUCAAGAAUGACUUCACUUACGGUGAACAUGAUGACCACUUCUUCAACCAGGGAUUCAACGCGUACUUCAGACCAGAUAUCCAGCAGGGCAUGUUGGAAGACCGAAUCCGUACAGAGUUUUACCGGGACGCCAUCUACAGCAACAAGCACCUGUUCAAGGAUAAGAUCGUCAUGGACUUUGGAUGUGGGUCUGGCAUCCUGUCCAUGUUUGCUGCAAAAGCAGGGGCCAAGAAAGUUUUUGGCAUUGAAGCAAGCAACCUCGCGAAAACAACCAGGAAAAACGUGAAGAAGAACGGACUUGACCACAUCAUUACUAUCGUGGAAGGGAAGGUUGAGGAGAUCGAGCUGCCCGGUGUGGAGAAGGUGGACGUCCUGCUGAGCGAGGUGAUGGGUGUGGGGCUGAUCCACGAGGGCACGCUGCAGUCUCUCGUCAUCGCCAGGGACAGGUUCCUGAAACCUGGUGGUAUCAUGUUUCCUGACAAAAACACGCUGUACGUAUGUGCCAUCGAAGACAAGGAGAUGCACGACAAUCAUGUCAAAUAUUGGAACGAUGUGAACGGGUUUGAGAUGAAGUCGAUGGCAGACGUCUCCAAGUCGUACGCCUGGCACCAUCCCAUUGGGCCUGAGCAGCCCCGUCACGGACUACUACACACUCAGGGAAUACGACUGGAACACCUGCAAACUGGACGAGAUUUUCUUCACCUCGCCUUUCAAGCUGACGUGUAACAGGAAGGACACGGUCCAUUCUCUGGCGGUCUUCUUCGACUGCGAGUUCAGCGCAUGCUCCACCAAGACUGUUCUUUCUACAGGCCCAGAAGCUCCCAUGACACACUGGAUGCAGCUGACCUGUCAUCUUGACCAGCCUGUUCAGGUGAACAAAGGAGAAGAGCUCGAAGGAACAUUCACCGCUAAAGCAUACAACGGAAGAGACCUGGAGUUUGACAUAGACAUGGACUUCAAGGGAGAACUGGGAUCCACCAAGCUGUCCCGGGAGUACUACUACUACUGGGGCAUGAGCUGCCAGUUGGAAUAUAAAAAAGACGAACUAGAGGCAUAAGCCUUUUGUGCUAAAAGGGUUAGGGUUAGUCAAACUGCCUUAGUCAUUUGAAGGGCUAGGGUUAAAAUGGAUUUUCAAAAAGUACAUUUUCUGGUCAUUCGUUUAAUGUAGUAAGUUGAAUCAAUCCUACCCCAUAGCAUACUGAUAUCUGUGAGGUAGAGAUGCAAUGUCACUGACGGAAAACGGUUGCUUGUUUUGUAUCGUAGGCUGGUUCUAGCUAUUUAUGGGUGGUACCCAAAACAAGAGAUGCCUCAGUCACUUAGCUUAUUUUUGGGGCUAUUUCAAACGGAAAUAAUGAGGAAAAUGUGCUUAGAAUUGGGAGUAAAUGUCAAUAUCAGACAGAUUUUUCCUAAUUAAUAAUAUUUUUGGUCACCGGGGCUCAGUGGCUAAGGAUUGGCAACCAAGGCAAGGAUAAAUGUAUAAGGGUGUUAACAUUUUAUAGCUUUCACUAGCAGUGUCUUCUAGAUAUAAUGUUUUGUUUUGUUUCUUUUCUUUGUGGGGAGGAACUACAUAUUAGUGAUGUAACGUUUAAAUAGUUUGAUAUUGAGUAGAAUCACUGUUUGUCAGUUUCCAAUGUCAAAGUUAAGCCAAACAAUUUGAAUGUAAACAUUAACAUACUAGGAGUAACAGCUGUGUAUAACUCUUUUCUGUAUCUUGACAAAAAAUUUCAGUUGAAUAAAAUUUUCAUGGGGCCAAAUAAA